GAAGGAGAGAGUUUGGUAGUGCUUCGUGUUCACAGCGAGGUCCUUGAUUCGUGUUACAAUAAUUAAGGCACGCGGUGAAUGCCAAGAACUACCGGGCCGAAAUCAUCGCUGGAA
rnacentral:pre_miRNA from 1 species